GACAGAGGGUGCAACCGUUGUUCGGAAUUACUGGGCGUAAAGCGCGUGUAGGCGGUCUGCUAAGUCGGGUGUGAAAGCCCUGGGCUCAACCCAGGAAGUGCACUCGAAACUGGCAGGCUAGAGUACUGGAGAGGUUGGUGGAAUUCUCGGUGUAGAGGUGAAAUUCGUAGAUAUCGAGAGGAACACCGGUGGCGAAGGCGGCCAACUGGACAGAUACUGACGCUGAGACUCGAAAGCGUGGGGAGCAAACAGG
rnacentral:rRNA from 1 species